UUUUGCUUUAAAAUUGCCUAUGCUAGUCCUAUUUAUGAUGAAGAAGUUCUCACCCCUUUAUGCUAUAUCUAUAUAUAUAUUAUUUAUGAAGGAAGGGAAUGGCAGGAAUUACCAGACCUCCCUCCCUACUUGAAAUCUCUAUCAAUACUCUACUGCCAUCCAGACUUGUAGGAGCGCUACCGAAAGUUUGUCGGUUCUGAUUGGCAAAGUUUCAGCCAGAGCUGUGGUUGGCAGAGGAAGCAAAACAUGGUGAUGAUCUAAGCAUCAACAUCUUGUUCAAGAUUAAUGACCAACAUGCAAUACGUAGGCAGGAAAGAGAUGAAGGGAAAUAAUGAAUACAGAUCGAGGUGCCUUCAAUGCCGUUGAAGUUAAAAUAUUGAUGAUUCCCCUCCUACGGUGUCGAUUAUGGAGCAUAAAGAACAACUGAACAGAAACAUGGAGAAAAGAUCUGUAGGCUUUGUCCAGCGAGCUUUCACUGGUCAACAAUGACAGAUUUAAUGGUUACAUCCGACAACACCAAGAUGCUACUGAAAUACUCAAAAUGGAAAUCAAUAAUACUUUAGUUGUUCUCAUGGAUUUGGCUAACAUUUGUAAGUAUCGACAGCUUGCCGAGCAAGAAGAUGGAAAUUAUUCAGUUAAAGUUUAAUUAAUGUCCUAUGAAGAAACAUAGAGGGGGAGAUUAUUACAUGUAGAGUUCGGACAGGAGAAUUGUCUGGAUCCCAUUGAGUGUUGAUGAUUGGAAUUAAGUCCUAACUUUAGGCUUGUUUUGGUA